UACGAAGGGUGCAAGCGUUAAUCGGAAUUACUGGGCGUAAAGGGUGCGUAGGCGGUUCGUUAAGUCUGUCGUGAAAUCCCCGGGCUCAACCUGGGAAUGGCGAUGGAUACUGGCGAGCUAGAGUGUGUCAGAGGAUGGUGGAAUUCCCGGUGUAGCGGUGAAAUGCGUAGAGAUCGGGAAGAACAUCGGUGGCGAAGGCGGCCUGCUGGGCUCUUGCUGACACUGAGGCGCGACAGCGUGGGGAGCAAACAGG
rnacentral:rRNA from 1 species